AUAUUUAGAGCAUAUAUAAUAUAGAUUUUAUAAGAAAAAAAGAUUGGAGAGGGAUUUUGGUAGCAAAAAGAAUAGUUAAGGCAUCUAUAUGGAUGAAUGGAGAUAGAUGAUGAAAAUCUCUAUUCCUAUUGGCCAAAACUCAUACCCAAUGGACUUCAAGGAGACUGCCUAAAGCCUUAUUAGAGAUUAGGGUUAUUUUUUUGAGAUGAUUUGAGCUUUGGAGGCUAAGAUCAGCAAGUUUGGGUUUUUGGCUAUGGUUUUGGCAUAAAUUUUGGAUAAUUUGGAGCUUAUAUAAAAUAAAUAUGAAUGCUCAAAGUUAAGGUAUUGAUUUUUUACCUACUAUCACUUUUUUUGAACAUAACAAGCACGUACAAAAAGCAAUAAAGGAUCAACAAUUAGGAUUGAUGAGAUUACUUUAUUGACUAUAAUUUUGGUAUAUUUUUUAAUAUAUUCUAAAUUUAAUUAAAGGAG
rnacentral:lncRNA from 1 species